UACGUAGGGUGCAAGCGUUAAUCGGAAUUACUGGGCGUAAAGCGUGCGCAGGCGGUGAUGUAAGACAGUCGUGAAAUCCCCGGGCUCAACCUGGGAACUGCAUCUCUGACUGCAUUGCUGGAGUGCGGCAGAGGGGGAUGGAAUUCCGCGUGUAGCAGUGAAAUGCGUAGAUAUGCGGAGGAACACCGAUGGCGAAGGCAAUCCCCUGGGCCUGCACUGACGCUCAUGCACGAAAGCGUGGGGAGCAAACAGG
rnacentral:rRNA from 1 species